rnacentral:rRNA from 1 species
CAGCCGCCACGGUAAUACGAAGGGUGCAAGCGUUACUCGGAAUUACUGGGCGUAAAGCGUGCGUAGGUGGUUGUUUAAGUCUGCUGUGAAAGCCCUGGGCUUAACCUGGGAAUUGCAGUGGAUACUGGGCGACUAGAGUAAGGUAGAGGAUAGUGGAAUUUCCGGUGUAGCAGUGAAAUGCGUAGAGAUCGGAAGGAACAUCUGUGGCGAAGGCGACUAUCUGGGCCAUUACUGACACUGAGGCACGAAAGCGUGGGGAGCAAACAGGAUUAGAUACCCGAGUAGUCCCUGUCUCUUAUAC